rnacentral:rRNA from 1 species
UACGGAGGAUCCAAGCGUUAUCCGGAUUCAUUGGGUUUAAAGGGUGCGUAGGCGGAAUGAUAAGUCAGUGGUGAAAUCCUGCAGCUUAACUGCAGAACUGCCAUUGAUACUGUCAAUCUUGAGUAUAUUUGAUGUGGGCGGAAUGUGUCAUGUAGCGGUGAAAUGCUUAGAUAUCGUCAAGAACACCGAUAGCGAAGGCAGCUUACUAGGCUGUAACUGACGCUGAGGCACGAAAGUGUGGGGAUCAAACAGG